rnacentral:rRNA from 1 species
UACAGAGGCCCCAAGCGUUACUGGGAAUCACUGGGUUUAAAGGGUGCGUAGGUGGCGCGUUAAGUCCGUUGUGAAAGCCCUGGGCUCAACCCAGGAACUGCUUCGGAUACUGGCGCGCUUGAGGCUAGUAGGGGUCACUGGAACUGACGGUGGAGCGGUGAAAUGCGUAGAUAUCGUCAGGAACGCCAAUGGUGAAGACAGGUGACUGGGCUAGUUCUGACACUGAGGCACGAAAGCGUGGGGAGCGAACGGG